rnacentral:rRNA from 1 species
GACGAACGCUGGCGGCGUGCUUAACACGUGCAAGUCGAACGGAAAGGCCUCUUUCGGGGGGUACUCGAGUGGCGAACGGGUGAGUAACACGUGAGUAACCUGCCCUUGACUUUGGGAUAACUUCAGGAAACUGGGGCUAAUACCGGAUAGGAGCUCCUGCUGCAUGGUGGGGGUUGGAAAGUUUCGGCGGUUGGGGAUGGACUCGCGGCUUAUCAGCUUGUUGGUGGGGUAGUGGCUUACCAAGGCUUUGACGGGUAGCCGGCCUGAGAGGGUGACCGGCCACAUUGGGACUGAGAUACGGCCCAGACUCCUACGGGAGGCAGCAGUGGGGAAUAUUGCACAAGGGGUGGAAGCCUGAUGCAGCAACGCCGUGUGCGGGAUGACGGCCUUCGGGUUGUAAACCGCUUUCGCUCAUGACGAAGCUUUGUGUGACGGUAGUGGGUAAAGAAGCACCGGCUAACUACGUG